rnacentral:rRNA from 1 species
GAUGAACGCUGGCGGCGUGCCUAAUACAUGCAAGUCGAGCGAACAGACGCUGAGCUUGCCCCUCACACGUUAGCGGCGGACGGGUGAGUAACACGUGGAUAACCUACCUAUAACACUCGGAUAACUUCGGGAAACCGUAGCUAAUACCGGAUAAUAUAUUGAACCACAUGAUUCAAUAUUGCAAGACGGUUUUGCUCUCACUUAUAGAUGGAUCCGCGCCGCAUUAGCUAGUUGGUAAGGUAACGGCUUACCAAGGCGACGAUGCGUAGCCGACCUGAGAGGGUGAUCGGCCACACUGGAACUGAGACACGGUCCAGACUCCUACGGGAGGCAGCAGUAGGGAAUCUUCCGCAAUGGGCGAAAGUCUGACGGAGCAACGCCGCGUGAGUGAUGAAGGUCUUCGGAUCGUAAAACUCUGUUAUUAGGGAAGAACAAAUGUGUAAGUAACUAUGCACGUCUUGACGGUACCUAAUCAGAAAGCCACGGCUAACUACGUG